rnacentral:rRNA from 1 species
AAGAACCUUGCGCUUUUGGAGCGGCCGAUGCCUGAUUAGCUAGUUGGUGGGGUAAUGGCCUACCAAAGCUUCGAUCAGUAGCUGGUCUGAGAGGACGGCCAGCCACACUGGGACUGAGACACGGCCCAGACUCCUACGGGAGGCAGCAGUGGGGAAUUUUGGACAAUGGGCGCAAGCCUGAUCCAGCCAUGCCGCGUGAGUGAAGAAGGCCUUCGGGUUGUAAAGCUCUUUCAGCCGGGAAGAAAAGGUUGCGAUUAAUAAUCGCAAUUUAUGACGGUACCGGAAGAAGAAGCACCGGCUAACUACGUGCCAGCAGCCGCGGUAAUACGUAGGGUGCGAGCGUUAAUCGGAAUUACUGGGCGUAAAGGGUGCGCAGGCGGUUUUGUAAGUCAGAUGUGAAAUCCCCGGGCUUAACCUGGGAACU